GCCAUCGGCGGUAGUGAGUUGAAUACAUCAUCCAUGAAGUUAAGCAACCUUACGCGUUGUUGCUAUCUGGAUGGGUGACCAUUUGGACAAUCGCGUUCUGCUGGCU
rnacentral:rRNA from 1 species